UCAAAUAUCAUACACCUUAUCGUCAAUAUUAUUCUGUUCUGAUUACAUGAAUAGUGACUAUUCGAGUAAUCGUUUCCAAAUCUUCUUAUUUUUGACUAAAUUUUCCAUUUUUCAUGCGUCUUCGCUUAAAAUGAUACACAAAUAUUUUUGAAAGAUACCAGUAAUAUUCCUUAAAACAAAACUCUGAAUGCAUCAGAGUGUGUCUUUACUGACUUCAAAACAAAUAAAAAUGGCGCGUGUUUUUUGUUUCGGUAGCGAAAACGACGGAAUUUAUUUUAUUUAGAAAUUCAUCAGCUGAAAUGUAAGUUAAAAGCAAUUAUGAUUUCCAUAAACUAUUUUUUUAUUGUUACAAUUAUUUUUUUUCAGUAAUAAACAACUCUUCAAUCCUGAGGUGCACCGUUUACUGUUCCGGAAGGGGAAUUCGCGGUCGAAACAUUCGCGGUAACAGCAGCACAUAAUCCAGUAUCCGCCGGAAGCGUUUCAGUACCGCUGCUGGAAUCCGAGGGUCCCCUCUGGUGUGGCUGGUAGAGAAAUCGAUGAAUGGCGAAAGAUGUCCAGGGGACUAAUCGAAGCAUUCGAUACUACUACCCCGACGGCCAGUUCCCUGGAUUGCAUCAAUGAUCCGCACUCACGGCUGUCGGUCACGCGUCAGACUGUUCUACAACGACCAAAAUUGUAUAUUGUUAUGGUUGAAUCAGCAAAACAGGCAGGACACCUUCCCCAUUGCUGAGGUCAUCCACUGUACCCAGCGGCCAGAAACGGCACAGCGAACAUUGUACCAGCACCGAAUUGAAUCACAGAACACCACAGCGAGUAGAAAUUCAAACGACGAACGUGAUGAGGACAGAGACAGAAGCAAGGCAGAGAAAGAAGCCACGCGUGCGGAGCAUCCCGAUAAGGAACCUCUGGCAGACGAUGAUGGUUCACGAUCGUCUGGAAUCACUCAUCCGUGACGCUGUGCUUGUUCUGUCUAGGAACAACCGAGGACACGGCCGUAGCACUCACAAACGGAGCAAUACCUUGGAGGCUCGUGUUCGGCAGCUCACACAGUGCACCCGGCCACAAGUGCGGCAAAGUACCUCUACAUGUGCUCAAAGUAUGAGUCGAACAUAACAACUUUGAUGAAUAAGCGCACCGAUGAAGGUUAGUGAAAAAGUUUUAUUGUUUUGUUAAAGCUUUAAUUUUUUCAAUCCUUCGUUCCAGCUAGCCAAAGUACAGCAGAUGCAAGAAAAAAUCCCCCACCCUGCCGGGCCGCAUAGAAUUAUCGCAGCUAAUUCUGCUGCCGGGCCGCAAAGUUCCCCCGCCGCGCCGGGGGAAAUUAUUUUUUUUCUAUUGGGUUUGAAAGAAAGUCAAUAGCGGUACUGGAGAUGGCAUCGGCACCGGAUUCCCGAAUUGAAAAGUGGUGGCUGCGAAGAAAAAAGUGUUAAACCGAAAGAUUCGAAUCUCCAGAACUGCGGAAAAGGGACCAGCUUCAAUGGCACUGUAACUGCCCGGGCAGAUAAACACAGGAGCAGUUUUAAACAAGUUACCUCAGGGACACAUAGUGACGGUUUCAUUGCACUGUUGACUCAUCUUUUGGCAGUAGAGGUUGCUCCUGGUGUCUGUCGAUCAGCAAAACCGAUCGAACAAAGUGUUCCUACCCUCGAGAGACCUGAGUCUCCUCUCCGGGCAUUGGCUUCAAUCGUACAAAAAUUCUCUCGGAAUGACGUGGAGACCUCUUCUUAGUGAUGAAAUAUGAACGUUCCUCCUAUGAAGGCUUCCUCUGUUCUUUGAGCAGAUCUGAAGGUGUAAUAAACAACGGUAGCUGCAGCCUACAUCGUGUUGACGGUACCGUAGACCCUCUCGCUAAGCGGAUUGCGAUUGUUUAUUGUUGAUGAUCCAGAUAAUUUAGAUUGAGUGCUUUAGUCAGCUACAAAUCGGCCUAAAGAAUGAGAAGGAUAUGAGGUGAAACAUUCGUUUGCACCACGGUGCACAGAACCUGAAGAGUCAACAUUGAAAACAGCGACGAAACAGUCAGGUGAUAAGUGCCUGUAUCUUAUAGUUGGCCCAAAGCUCCAAAAUCAUUCUUUAGCUGCCAUAUUUUGGUAAUAGUGUUUUAUAUGUAUAUUCAUGGUAAUUUCAAGUGCUUAUGUUUUGUUUUGUUUUCUCUAGGUAGAACAUUUUGUGAGCAGCGAAUGUGGCGACAUACGAACAAUUGUCUACGAUGUUGGACAUGCAAAUUUUCCAGUGCAAGAAUUCAAAAUAAGAAAUGGUACAUGGGAAUUAAUCUGGAUUCCUCUUUUUUUUUACAAUGGAAGGAGCAGUUGGCUACCGACAUCGCUGAUAAUUCGCAAUUGAAGAUACGUCGUUGACAGUGCCAUUUCGAUGAGCACUCUGCUCCGGAAGCGGAAGCUGCAACGCUGAAGGGCGAGGAAUCCCUGGUGGCUUUUUGAAUGCAGUAAAUUGGAGGUGGAUGCGGUAGACUUUAAUAAAACCUAGUUCGAAGGAGAUAUUGUAAACAAUUAUCAAUUGUCUUAUAUUGAUGAAUAAUAAAAUAUAUGUAAAAAUAUAACGGGAAUCGUCUACUCAUUUUGCAUUUUAUCAUAAAAAGAUCCUUUAAAGAUACACUGUAGCGUCGAAAUAUUGGCGAAGAACGAUUAAUUGAAGAUUACAAGUAUCGUUAUUUUUUUAUGAGAAAACCAUUAAGAAAAGAUUCCACGAAUGAUACAACUCGCUCGGAGUGAGUAGAAAAAAGCAAAAAAAUUGAAUGGUUACUCUACUUAACGACCCGUUCAUUGUAUCGUAAAGUGCGUCCAAACGAUUCCAUUUCAUGAAAAAAUGAUAAGCCUUAUCUUACAUUAAUAAUCCAAAACUAUAGAAGUAAUCUUUUGGGUGUCUUGGGAAGAAGAUAAUGGGAAUAGUCAUAGUAUAAUACUGAUU